AGUGAACGCUGGCGGUAGGCCUAACACAUGCAAGUCGAACGGCAGCACAGUAAGAGCUUGCUCUUACGGGUGGCGAGUGGCGGACGGGUGAGGAAUACAUCGGAAUCUACUUUUUCGUGGGGGAUAACGUAGGGAAACUUACGCUAAUACCGCAUACGACCUACGGGUGAAAGCAGGGGAUCUUCGGACCUUGCGCGAUUGAAUGAGCCGAUGUCGGAUUAGCUAGUUGGCGGGGUAAAGGCGCACCAAGGCGACGAUCCGUAGCUGGUACGAGAGGAUGAUCAGCCACACUGUAACUGAGACACGUUCCAGACUCCGACGGGAGGCAGCAGUGGGGAAUAUUGGACAAGGGGCGCAAGCCUGAUCCAGCCAUACCGCGUGGGUGAAGAAGGCCUUCGGGUUGUAAAGCCCUUUUGUUGGGAAAGAAAAGCAGCAGGUUAAUACCCCGCUGUUCUGACGGUACCCAAAGAAUAAGCACCGGCUAACUUCGUG
rnacentral:rRNA from 1 species